CAAGCAGUUUGUGUGUGUGACUCUCAUUGUGUUGAUAGAAGUUGUUGUGGCAGUGAUUACAAUUUUGGAUGUUGUUACUUUUGGAAUUGUGGUGGAGAAUAUUGUUGUGGUUGUGAUUGAGAAUGCGAUUAAGUAUGUAGUAGUGGCGGGUGGAUGAUAGAUUGUUGAUAUCCCAAACUCACACUCUAAGAACAAUAACAAGGAGAUUGCAUCAAUCUCCUCUAGAGAUCAGCAUUGAUCUCUCUUCAAGCACAUUGCUUGGCCAAAGUUUCACAAAGAACUCUCACAACAUCAAAGCAUGAAUCCAAAAUGAGCUUGCUCUCGCCCUCUUAUACUUUCUGAAUCCUCAACAGCAACACCUCUAGUACUCUCCAAGUCUUUCUAUCAGCAAAGCCUCUGUUUCGUCCCCGGUCUUUCUCUUUCUCAUUGAUGAGAUCCAUGUCACCACUUCUCUUGAUAAUAAGCUUGACCAAAGGUAUCAGUGGAGCGAUUGUAGUUGAGAUGGCCAAUUUUGUGGUUGCGGUUGCAUUUGCGGUGGUGAAUAGUUUUGGUAUCCAUCUGACUGGUGAUACAGUGACUGCAUUUAACCAUUUCUGGUCCCA